rnacentral:tRNA from 1 species
UCCUGGUAGUUCAGCUGGUGAAGAAUCUGCCUUCAAUGCAGAAGACCCUGGUUUGAUUCCUGGGUCAGGAA